UUUAAUUGAAGAGUUUGAUCAUGGCUCAGAUUGAACGCUGGCGGCAGGCCUAACACAUGCAAGUCGAACGGUAACAGGAAGCAGCUUGCUGCUUC
rnacentral:rRNA from 1 species